GCCCUGCUGGUCUAGUGGUAUGAUUCGUCCUUCGGGUAACUCCCAUUCUUCUCAAGAGAAUAUGGACGAGGUCCCCGGUUCAAUCCCGGGGUAGGGCC